AGGACGAACGCUGGCGGCGUGCUUAACACAUGCAAGUCGAGCGACGGUGCUCCUUCGGGAGCAUACGGAGCGGCGAACGGGUGAGUAACACGUGGGCAACCUGCCCCUAGCUCUGGGAUAACUCCGGGAAACCGGGGCUAAUACCGGAUACGACUUCCCCCGGCAUCUGGGGAAGUGGAAAGUUUUUCGGCUAGGGAUGGGCCCGCGGCCUAUCAGCUUGUUGGUGGGUAAUGGCCCACCAAGGCGACGAC
rnacentral:rRNA from 1 species